UACGGAGGGGGCUAGCGUUGUUCGGAAUUACUGGGCGUAAAGCGCACGUAGGCGGCUUUGUAAGUUAGAGGUGAAAUCCUGGAGCUCAACUCCAGAACUGCCUUCGAUACUGGCGACCUUGAGUCCGGGAGAGGUGAGUGGAACUCCGAGUGUAGAGGUGAAAUUCGUAGAUAUUCGGAAGAACACCAGUGGCGAAGGCGGACUCACUGGCCCGGUACUGACGCUGAGGUGCGAAAGCGUGGG
rnacentral:rRNA from 1 species